rnacentral:rRNA from 1 species
UAAGGAAUAUUGGUCAAUGGACGAAAGUCUGAACCAGCCAUGCCGCGUGGAGGAUGAAGGUCCUCUGGAUUGUAAACUUCUUUUAUAUGGGACGAAAAAGGGUCUUUCUAGAUCAACUGACGGUACCAUAUGAAUAAGCACCGGCUAACUCCGUGCCAGCAGCCGCGGUAAUACGGAGGGUGCAAGCGUUAUCCGGAUUCACUGGGUUUAAAGGGUGCGUAGGUGGGUUGGUAAGUCAGUGGUGAAAUCC